GUUAGAGUGGCAGAGCCCGGUAAUUGCAUAAGGCCUAAGCCCUUACUCCCAGGGGUUCGACUCCCCUUUCUAACU
rnacentral:tRNA from 1 species